rnacentral:rRNA from 1 species
UACAGGGGGAGCAAGCGUUAUCCGGAAUGAUUGGGCGUAAAGCGUCUGUAGGUGGUCUAGAAAGUCUACUGUCAAAUACCAAGGCUUAACCUUGGGCAGGCAGUAGAGUACUUUUAGACUUGAGUGCGGUAGAGGUAGAGGGAAUCCCUAGCGUAACAGUGAAAUGUGUAGAUUUUAGGGAGAACACCAGCGGCGAAGGCGCUCUACUGGGCCGAGACUGACACUGAGAGACGAAAGCUAAGGGAGCGAAAAGG